rnacentral:rRNA from 1 species
GGCUCAGGACGAACGCUGGCGGCGUGCUUAACACAUGCAAGUCGAACGGUGAUGUCAGAGCUUGCUCUGGCGGAUCAGUGGCGAACGGGUGAGUAACACGUGAGUAACCUGCCCCCGACUCUGGGAUAACUGCUAGAAAUGGUAGCUAAUACCGGAUAUGAYGAUUGGCCGCAUGGUCUGGUCGUGGAAAGAAUUUCGGUUGGGGAUGGACUCGCGGCCUAUCAGGUUGUUGGUGAGGUAAUGGCUCACCAAGCCUACGACGGGUAGCCGGCCUGAGAGGGUGACCGGCCACACUGGGACUGAGACACGGCCCAGACUCCUACGGGAGGCAGCAGUGGGGAAUAUUGCACAAUGGGCGCAAGCCUGAUGCAGCAACGCCGCGUGAGGGAUGACGGCCUUCGGGUUGUAAACCUCUUUUAGUAGGGAAGAAGCGAAAGUG